rnacentral:tRNA from 1 species
GUUCCUGUAGCGCAAAGGAUAGCGCGUUGGACUUUUAAUCCAAAGGUCGUGGGUUCGAGUCGCACCUGGGAUG